UACAACUGGUUAAAUGGUAGAAAUGAGAUU
rnacentral:piRNA from 1 species